UUCCCCUAAGAAGCCUAUUUUGCCUAAGUUGCCUAAGAAGCAAUCUACACCAUGUUUUUAAACAACCAAUGGACCAGAUUAAAUCCCUAAUAUUAAACUAGAUAAGUAAACAAUUAAAACGCGCGGGGGUAUUUUCGCCAUAAACAAAAAAAUAGUACUGGACAAAAAGGAAAGCAGUUAUUGACGAUUCAAAACAGUUCUUCUUCACUCUCUCUCAAAACUUCCCAAUGGCUAAGAAACGUCCCCUAAAAUCGACAAUAAGAGAGACGAAAAUCGAACAAACAACAACAAAAACAGCAUCAACGAUGGAUUCAGAGAGUUCUAAGAGAUCUACAAGAAGCCAGAAGCAUAAAGAAACAAAACCUGAUGACGAUUUCGAAGAGCUGUACAAUCCCAAACCACUACAAAUUGUACAACCAGGAGAACCAAUCCCUACUUUU